rnacentral:siRNA from 1 species
GUUGUUGUUCUUCUUCUUCGG